UGGACCAGGAAGCGCCCUGGUAAACUUAGCUCUUUAGUCUUUUGGGGGCACCUGGCUGUACUUCAGAGAGAAAGCAGAUGAAGCAAAGACAAGCCCAUUGUCAGGGACCCCAGAUGGGAAGGAACAGAGAAUCGGACACCAGGGAAGAGCACGUGGCUACUUGAAAGACAUCACCCAGGGAAGGAGGAAGGAGCAAGACAUAAUCGUGUUUUUCUUUUCAUGUGUUUUUUUUAAACGACUUUUACAAACAUGAGUUCAUCUAUUCAUGACAAGAUAGAGGUGGUGAUUUUUAUUUUACUACUGAGAAACUGCAACCCCAGAGAAGGAUCUUUCCGGCUGUCAGUGCUAUUGUUGGCUCCUGUAGAUGAGCAUUGUAGAAUGGCCCCAACAAACCAGGUCUCCUGCACCAUGGGCUUCCCAGUGUGAUAUUGCUGCUCCUCCCAGCAGUCGGCUUUUCUCUGCCUUUGGCCUCAAAAUUGCUUCAAAAGCAUCAAGUGACUUACUCAGCAGAGUGAAGGCUCGAGACAGAACGUGCUGUGCAAAUGCAGUGUUUGCCUUUGGAAUAUUAACCUCGAGAGGCUCGGGUGAGCUGGGAAGUCGAGAGCCUUCCUCUCGGUCCCUGGCAGCCUGCUCAGGCUGUGCGUGUUUUUCCAGCUCGAAGAGUGAUGAGCCUCUUCUGCACACUCCAGAUGUUUCCAGCCCUGCGGCGCCGUCGUCGUCUAAAGCAAGCUGCCGGGCACCGACUCUUCGGGUGACAUUCUCCCACAGGUUCUCUCGAAUGGGUUUGGCUUUGCUGCAGGGAACGAGGAAAAGACCUGUGUUUGUGUUUUCUCUCGUAAAGAAUACGGACACCGUAAUCUGCUUUACAUCUGGGUCUGACUGCACACAAGAGAGAGUGGGUGGAAUGGGUGGUGGGCAAGUCAGCUGCGGGGGAGGCGGGGGCCCCCCGCCGAUAGCACACCUGUGUAGGUGUGACAGGGCAGCUCGCUGGGUGGAGGAGUCUCUGGAAGACUCGAGGCCCCUCCACUGGAGGCUGGAGGAGGGGACUGUUGCUGUUUUUCAGUGAUUCCGGGCUCUUUCCCCCUUGGAGCAUUUCUGGUUCUGUCUGGGUUUUCUGGAAGCAGUUAGAAGAAACAGCUGGAUGUUGGAGGGAAAAUGUCUAAUGUGCUUAACAUCUUUAUAAAGGCGAUUCACAUUUAGAGAAAGGAUUUGAGUUGAUUUUCCCCAAACCAGCUCUCUUCUCUCUCUGUGCAAAGGCUUUCCUAAAACUUCCCAAUGUGUAGAGGGUGGAUUAAACAAGUGAGAAGUCAUAAAGUGCAGCCCUAUUUAAAUAGAGGCACCUAUGGCCCAGGCAUCUGAUUAUGGAUGAGUGUUGAGUGCCACUUGCAAAGUGUGCAGCCGGCCUGCCUUAAAUAACACUCCCUAGGCCCAAGCAGUCCUGAAGAGGUUUCUAGGAUUAGAUCACAGCCUGGCAAAAGCAGAGCAAGUCUGGAAAAGUCCUAGGAGGAUGGAAAAACAUUUUUUCCUCUUUUGUUUCAAAUCUAUCAGAUCAAGCAGCUGAUGCAAGCUUUGGACCAAAUGAAACAUUUCAAUAACUCGUAUUGUUAAAUCACAAUCAGCUGGAGGAAUUUGAUUUGCGACCGGCUCAGAAGAAUAUUCUUGGGGAUAUUUUGAAAGGAUCACCAAGAGCAAAUUACUGCCAUUGUUCCUUAAGGGAAAAAGGAUUUGUUUUAUUCAAUAAACUGCAGGGCGCUCAGCAGGGUAACUGGCAGACGGAAGAGGGCCUCAUCAAGUGUCUUAGUCAGCUUGGGCUGCUCUAACAAAAUACCUUAGACUGGGUGGCUUGAGCAAGAGAAAGUUACUUUUCACAGUUCUGGAGGCUGGCAGGUCCUACUUCGAAGGGCCAGCUGAUUUGAUUCCUGGCUUGCAGAUGGUCUUCUCGUUUAGUAGAGAAAGACAGCUCUUUCUUCCCAUUGUUUCUUCUUAUAAGGCCACUAACCCCAUCCUGAGGAUUCCACCCUGGGUCACUUGAUUCCCUCCCAAAGGCCUCAUCUCCAAAUAUUAUCACAUUGGGAGUUAGGGCUUCAGCAUAUGAGUUCAGGCGGGGGUUG